rfam:Metagenome sequence AGZO14244.g2, whole genome shotgun sequence.
CUGCGUUAGGGAUUGGAACGGCAUCCUUUUUUUUGCAUUUCAAAAAAAAAGAUAUAGUGAAAAGCCCGACCCCUU